CACGUAGCACUGGCGCCCAACGUAAAUUCUAUAAUAUUUAAAAUUAUUUGUUUGUCGGUGAAUUAUUUUAAUUAUUUUAUUUUGUAGGGUAUCGCAUUGGCACUCAUUUUUUUUUUUUUUUCUUAUUCCUGGCAAGUGGUUUUCUCUGGGUAUGUAAAGGGGUCUUGUCCUUGUGUCUUUGUGUGUUUUGUGUUUUGUGAAUUGUGUUAAAUUAUUACUUUUCAUUUUUAUUAAUUAAAUUUGAUUACUGUUUCGUUUAGGUUGUGU
rnacentral:misc_RNA from 1 species